GUGGCAUGUGAGCCGGCGCAUCAGAUGCUUUCCUGUUCCGUGAUGUGAAAGCCCCGAGACGAAAAGGAACAAAAAAUAUGAAACCUCUUCACUCAAGUAUUUCUUGAACUCUGAAGGUGUUUUUAAGGUAAAGAAACAUAGAUUUAUUAUGUUUCAUGUUUCAGGUGUCCAGUUUGGGGCAAGUAGAACUUGUUUAUUAGAAAGAUAGAAAGAUACUUAAUUUCUAAAAAUCAGUGUUACAACAUAGAACUACUUAUAAAACUACUUUAUUUGAAUAUAUUUUAAAGCUCAAAACAAAUCCCUUUGUAUUGCUACAAUGAGAAAUUCAUAGAAAAAUUUACAAAUGUAGGGCCAGUAAUAAUCAACCCUUUUUCCAGGAGUAAAAAGAAAGGAAAGAUGCUAGACACUUCUGCCACUUUGUAUGGCCCAAAAACUCGCCAUGUGCUGACUUUGCAGGCUGGUAAUAUCAGGAAUCAUUUGUCAGUGGUUAUCUUUGUUUCUGCAAUAGCCUCCUCUCCCCUUGUCACUAGCUGAUUCUGGCCAUCCUAAAUAAUGUUUGAUGAGCACAAAUUUAUCAAUAACCACAGGAUCUGCCUAAGCCUCAGGGCCUCAGUAAACUUAGAGAAUGUGCUUCUGCACAUCUCUUUCCCUCACCAUAAUGCAGGCUGUAGGCAGAUGACACAAUUGAGUGGUGAUAUUUCUAUGUUAAAAUAACUAUUUAAUUACUUAACUUCUGCUUCUGGGGAUUCAGCAACAUGAAAGAUCAGUUAAAAUAAGCAGAAAGCUAAAUGGAGUAUAGUAUGACAAACAAAGGGAUUAAGGAGGGAUGAACUUUUCAGACAAACUGGUUAAAAAUACUGUCUUUUGUAAAUAAGCACAAGUCACUCUAGAACAAGAAGCACAAUACAGACCUUCAGAUUGCCUGAAAAUUGCUGAAAUUGGCAGUUCUGCCAGUGCCAUGUUUUGAGCAGAAAAUAAUUAUGGGGUGUUUAUUCAGAUUAAGAGUGGAUUUAAAUUUUAAAUUUGAAAAAAAAAUUGAUGCUUUUCUAAAUUUCUUAUUUAAAAAAAAAAAAAAAAUCAUCUUUAGGCCUUAUUUCAGUGCUGCUCAAAAAAUGGACAGAAUUCAGUUAGAAGUCUGUUCAAUAACUGCUCCUAGUCAGGAAACCUUUUGUUGUUGAUCCAAGACUACAUUAUCCUGGGUGGCAAAAAGUUUGCAUUUUAAAAAUUAUUCUGCCUCCCAGGACUUCAAAGAGUUUCCUCCUGACUUUGACUAAUGUUAGCUGAAACACACACAAAGGUGUUCUUCCAUCAGUAACAACAAAUAAUCCAAUGACAGUUCUAACAUGAAAUGUCUUGCCUAGCUUCAGCAAGAACAACAAGAAGAAAAAAAAUCACAUCUAUACUAUAGUUAACACAAAUGUAGCUUCUUCAUCAAUGGAGUCUAGGAGGAGAAGUGUUGUGCUAUGUCCCAUGUUUUUUAGAGAAAAACAUAAACCAUAUAAUUGCUUAGGGGUUUAACUGUAGUUUAUAACAGUCUUCUCACAUUUUGCAGAAGCAUGGAGCUAUAUAUAUCUGGGUUAAUUAAAUGCCAUUACAGUAUUUUUAUGCAUUUAAAAGAUGAAUUUAGGUUUUCAGCGUGCUGUAGAUGACAUAUUAUGCAGGAUGACAAUUAAAUCAUAGUAUAGACAAUUGCAUAAACAAACUGCUGGAUUUCAGUGCCUGCUCUAAGUAUUGCUGUUUCCUAAACUGGCCCUUGCUGCAGCAACAGAUAGAGAGAUCAGGAAGCUUCCAAGCCAGGCAGAUGAGAACCACACCUGAGGAACUGAGGAGGGGCUUAGAUGGGUUCUCAGCCUUUCCUGCUGGAGGAGGUUGAUUUACUCAAUGAUUUCUCCUAGCAUGCACCUAAACUGGCAGUAUGAACCCUUCCUUCACUCUUCCUUGCUUAAGGGCAAGAGAUCUUUGUGUGGAUGAAGGUUCUCUCAGCUCAUCUCUCCUCACUUCCAAACAUCCUGAUGCCAAGUACGGCCCAGAGCCUGAGAAAAGCUUCAGACUUCGGCCUCUGUCAGAACAGCUUCAUUCCAUUGCUUUGAGAAUGCCCCAGGCUAAAAUAAAUAAAUAACUGGAUAAAUGGAUGACGGUUCAUAUAAGCAGUCCUGAUUUACCUUCCUCUCCUUUCAAGCAAUGAAUCACCAGUGAAAGAGUGAUGACUCACUAGGGGAAUCCAAAGCUCUCCCUUUCAUAUGUGAGGCUGCAGUAGCCAUCCAUGCUCCAAAGAGGAAGAAAACUGGGCUGCUAUUUAAUAUUCAUUUCCACAAAGCUGAGUCAAAGCUGCUGGUAAGUGCCAAGGGAUUUUCAAGGAAAGACAGCUGCCCUCAUACCUUCGGUAUGUAGUGAAAAGGUAUAAAUAGUUGCACAUGGCAGAUAGUUGAUAUCAACACAAUAUUGUAUUUGUGAGAGUCUGUGUAGCAACUGCUGGACACAAGAGAGCAUCUGCAGUUAAAAUAAUAUGUACUGUCUACAAAGUAAGAAUAGUGUUACCCAGAAGCUCUGCAUGGUGCUAUUCAAGUUUGCUACACAAAAAGAGGUGCCCAGGGUAGGAGUUCAUUAAACAUCAUCAAGGUUAUUUGAGAAGGGAGCUUGUUGUGUCCUUUUAAAUUGAUUUUGUGGUACCUGGCUUUGUGGCCUGAGAUCAUCCUGAUGGUCUCUGUUGUCUCUCUAAGAACGUGGAGGUUCUCCCCUUGGCCUGGCAUGGUGGACAAGUUGCAUGCCACAUUUUGGGAACAUGGCAACAGGCCCCUUUUCCCUGUUUGGGUUUCCCUUUUCUCUCUGCACAAUUUCCUCACUGUGCCAGCUGGCUUUAGAGGCUUGAUUUGGUGCAUUGCAAGGCCCUUUUUUCUGGGAAGCCCUAAGGGAUGCUGCAGGUGCACAGGGACAGCUCCUUCCCCACCCUACCUGGGGAGUGCAGGGCUACAUUUGAUGAAGAAAGCUUUUAGCUAACCCCAAAUUUCCUCUGUAUUGAAAAGCAGGCAUGAGCAUGGCCACAAGUCACAAAGAUCCUUGUUAGCUGGGGCAAGGUGCUCCCCAGUGCUGACUCUCCCUGAGCUCCUCAAUCUCUUGUUACAAACACCAGAGGCAGAGGGACAGUGAUUUGAAAUGCAAGAGAUUGAAUAGGCAUGGAAGAAAAGAGUAAUUUUUAAUCUAAGGUACCAAGCCACACAGCUUAAACUUUCAACUUUACAAUCCUCACAGAGUUCCCACCCCUCUCUUUGGACAGGCAACAUUUCACCAGGAACCUCAUAUUGUCAUAUCGUCGUAUCCUUGACUUUGUGUUUUUUGAAUUACAUAUUUUCCCAACAGGAUUAUUUCCACAAAAAAAAGUGUAUAUGGCUGUUACAAUUCCCAAUCAAUUUCUCUUCAAGGAAAAAAAAACUUGUAGUUGAAUGGAUUCCUCUUUUGUUUUCAAAGUUUUAAGGGACUAGCAGGGUGUUCUGUUUGUAUAAGGACUUUCCUAUUGCUCUGAACCUAAAGCCUAUAUUAAAAUCUGUAGCUAAAAAAAAUGAGAUCAGACUCCCAAAAACCACCAACAGCUUACAUUCAAUUAAUUGAAGAAAAUAUGCAAGAUAGUCUCUGUGCACUAUUUAUAUUAGAGAUGUACCUGCAGCCCAAUUUGGCAGACUUGUAGCUUUCACUUACUUUAAUUGGAGUAGUUUGUAUUGCAGAGAAGGUCUUUCUUCUUUGGUUUUUACUCAUGAGUGACUCAGUCCAGUCCCUCAUAAGUACAUUCAGAACAUGGGGGAUAUUAUGUUUUUUUUCUUUCUGCACAGCAGAGGGUCUAUCUUUAAUUCAGUAUAAACAGAGUGUUUUACUCUAAUAAAUUAUGAUUCAUUAAAAAAAGAUAUCAAAUGGGUCAAGCUAUUCAUAGAGACUAUAAAGAUUUAUUUUUUUUAAUUAUUAUUUAAAUAUCAUUUAUUUAUCCAACUGUCUUUCUUUUUCAGGGUGAUUUUCCUCUCAGCUUCCUGCAUUUUUUACAAGCCUCUUCCAUUUUAAGAAAAAUAUCACAAGCUUCAAGUUGCUCCUGUGUUAUAUCAUCAAAACACUGGGAAAAUUACUGUUUCAGAGCUAAUUUUUAUUAACACUUUUAAUUUUGUAAACACUAUUUUAAAUGUAAAAUGAGUCUUUGGUGUUCCAUCUCUUAAACUGAAAAUAAUAUUUUGGCAAUGGAGAAUUUUGUACUUCACUAAUACACCAGACACAUUGAGAAAAAGGCUCAAAAAUUAUAAACCGUACCACUAUAAAAUUAUAAACAGUAAAGAAAGACAUGUAAGUCUGCUCAAAUGACACAAUAUGAUUUUAUUUGGCUGAAAAUGAAAGAGUAAAUUUAAGUUGAUCCUGAAUACUAUCCAAACAUAUUAUUUAAACAAGAGACUUCAUGUUUGCAAUUUUCAUUUUUUUUUUUAUCUGUUUUGUACUUUAACUCUGUCAAAAUACACAUUGUGAAACUUUAAUCAUAUGCAACCAGUUGCAUAUUGUUGCUGUGUUUCCUCAAGGUUUUGUGCAACUCUGCAUUCCAGUCAUCUGGCAAAGCAAGCUGUUGUGUUAAAACCCCAACCAAUUCUCAUGGCUUCCACAGGACCCAUAAUUCUUUCCAAAGGUUUUCACUUCAGAGACUGAUUUGAAGAAGAAUGAAUUGAAACUUGGAACAUCUGUCCAAAAGGGCCAUGGAAAUGACAGGUUUACUUGCAUUACAGAAGAAAAUCAAGAGCUUUUUCCUUGUGCCUGCUACAGUGAAGGACGAAGAAAGAGGAGCAAAAAGAGAUAGGAAGCUCUGGCAAGGUGUCUUUAAGGAACAUCAAAGCAAAAAAGAGAUGUUGCUGAUGAAGGACAGAAGAGGUGGGUAACCACAGCUCUUGAAUAGGUGUACCCAUGAAAACAGAGGGUUUCUAGCAAAGUGGAACAGGUGCAGCAGCAGACUGUGAGAGAGAAAAACACAACUGUUGGUAAGAAAAAGGGAGCAAACCUGUUUGAGCAUCAUUUUUCUGAAUGCUUGCUGAUUUGGGAUAUAUUUAUCAUUCCUUGAUUAAACUUUGAAAAUACUGGAAACCCCUCUUUUAUCAUCUUCAACUAUAUUUUCUACUGAAAUACGGUGUUGACUGGGAAAUCUAUAGGCAGAAGCAGAAUGAGUUAUUUUACUUCUAUACAUCUUGAAUGUUUCAGCACUACUGCUUAGUGGUAGAUUUAAAAAUCAAAUUAAUGAUAGCAAUAAUUUUAUAAUAAAUAUGGCACAAAACUGAGGAGCACACUUUAUCAAAAGUGCCUACAGACACUGCUGAUGUGUGUUAGUUUUGCAACAUUGGUAGCAUCUAUUGCACAGAUAUUUAAAUACCACCACUGCCCAGUUUUUGGAUAGAGCUGUCUUCCAGAAAACUGUAUUUUUGAGCAAAUAAUGUGUAUACUGAUUCCUUAUAUGAAACCUACCCUUUUCCAAGCAACCUCACUAUGUCAGCUCAUCACGGUUAUGAAAAAGAUACAGUAUUAAAAUAUGUUACCAUGCCUGCUCUGGAACUUUUAAACACAAAAUUACUUUGGUUUUUUAGACUUCUUAGCUGGUUGAGACAAACUAGUUUCUUCCAAAUGACAUAGAGAAGCUACAGGUCUUUCCCUUGUUUCAGAAGAUAAGGGUUUUCCCCUUAAGGCUCAAUAUGGAUUCAGUGACAUCACAGUUUUAUAUUUUAUAACAACAUAUAUUCUGAAUACCUCAGAAGAGUAAGAUAUAUGCUGAUAGAAGUCAGAAAUAAGUGAGGUUAAUGAAAGUGUAUGCAUGAAUGAAGAUCAAGUUUGGAGAUUUUCUGCUGAAUAGGAAAUUAUUUUUUCAAAACUCUCAAGGUAUUUAUUAAAAAAAUAUUUUUAAUAAUACAGCAUCUCAUUAUCAUUUUACUGUAUAGUAAAAAUUACUGGACCUACAGCACCACCAUCAUUUAUUUGAUAUGCUACUCCCUCUAAUUUGUUCUUUCUCUAUUAGAGAGAAUGAGCCAUGACAUAUAUGAGUAUAUAUAUCUACACACUAAAAAACUGUGAUUGAUUAGGCCUGAUUUUGAUUAAGCAGAUGUGCGCUUAUCAUUUCCAUCCCAAAAGCAAUGGAAGGUAAAAAAUGAAUGAAAAAUGUUAGCAAAAUCAUUUAAAAAUGAAUGUGAUUAGAAUCCAUAUCCUUCUUACUACACCCAGAACUCUCAAGAACAAAUGGCAAAUGUAUUCCAGCCACUGGCAAGCAAAGAUUAGAUAAUAAAUCUCAGAGAAAUGAGAAAGGUUAAUAGAAGACCAUAAUAAGGAAGGAAAAUUAUCUCAUGAAUUCAGUUAGGAACUUUCAUAUCUAAGGCUAAAAGUGGAAACCAGAGAUUCAGAGAUACCUGGACAUGGACUUUAUGCCAUUGAAACAAGAAAAUAUAGAACAAAAAUGCUUUUUGGUGGAGAGAAGUCAGUUUUACAUAGGUGGAAGAGGGACAGAAGUAUUUAGUCCACUGAAAAAGCUUCUUUAGCUAUAAAAAUUCUAGCUGGAUUGGUUACUGUUGGUUUGCUAUAUUAAACUGGAUUGAGCAUUUGAGUAUUUCCUACAGUGUGAUUAUAUGUCAAAGCCAGUCUCAAUGGUCAGGAAUCCCCCCUGUCUUCCUUCUUUCACAAGGGGGUGUAUUCCCCAGCGAAUUCUACAGCCUUGUUUUUAACCUUGAUUAGUUAAAGAAGAAAAAUAGGUAAGUAUAAAUACAAAGAACAAGCAGUUUUCUCUUACUUUGGGCUGUUAUUACUGUAGGAUACAGUUAAUAGAGCAGGUUACAACAUCUAUCAUCUCAGUUUCAGGUCCUUAUCCAGAAUUACAAACCAGAAAUAAAGAAAAGCUUUUGCAAAACGUUGUUUUAUGAUUUUUAAAAAAUCUUAAAAUACAAAUCUCCUAUUUUAAAGAAGAAAAUACAGGGAUAAAUGUAGUAGGACGUUCAUAAAACUUGAAGUUAGAGUAUCUGUCUUUCUGCAGCAAAAAAGCAAUUAAUUAUCAGGGGAAAAAAAAAAAAAAAAAGAAAGAAAAAAAAAAAGGGAAUGUCUUUCGAGCUCAAGGAAUAGUUGUUCACACACUUGGCCAGGAGAGGGACUGCUGAUGUCUGAGUCAUGCUAUGCCCAGCAGACACUGCCUUAGUUAUGCCAGAAAGGCAUUGCAGGACAGCGCUGCUGCCAGGUAGAGGGCUUUGUUUUUGAUACUAAACUGCAGCAUGAAAGCUCUCCACCUGGAGACUCUGUAAAGUGCCCGAGCUUUCAAAAUAUGCACACACACCUCAAAGUGCUGCAUCGUGCCCUGAUGGAUGAAGGGGUUUAUUUUGAUUUAAAAUGACAAAGACAUUUCUCCAAGCUUAACUGAAUUGACUAUACAGCAACUACAAUACAACUAAAUUUUAGCAAUAUCCAGGCUGUUUAUGUGUAGGCUGAAAGUACUAGUCAGCCAGUGUCCAGCAUUCCUUUCCCUUCCUCUUCUUCCCUUACCAUCCAGGCAAGCUUUUGGCCCUCACUGCACAUUCUCUUUCAUUUUACAAAUGCAGGCUGGACCACUAAUUCUCGCAAUCCUAUGAAGACACAGUGAUCUCUGUUUUAACUUCUGUAUUUUCAUGUUACCAAUAAAAGGCCCAGAGCUCCAAAUAAUUAAAAUACGUAUUUUUAUCAUCCAUCUCUCCCUCCUUUUAUGUAAUGACCUAAUGCACUUUGGUUUCAAACAUUUUUGAUUUGCAGACCUGUAAAAUUCUCCCCGUGGAGAUAUACAGUGAAUUUAUGCCUGCUAACAUUUCACAGUUCAAUUUCUCAGACCUUAGAGAAGAAACCCUAGACUUUAUAAAUUAAAACCCACCAUAGUGUCCAAGCCUUAUCAUGAUUGCAACCAACCAGUGAAUGUGUCCUGUGACUCUAGUUGCACCAUUUGAUUUUACAGGCCUUCCUAAAGACAGAAGGAUAUCAUUCCCAUUUAAACAGUAUUACAUUGGUGAGAAUUUAUUUAGAUGCAUAUAUUGAAGACAAUUUUGUAUUUCCUCAUCAGAGCUUUGCCAGUGGUGGUUCACUUUAAAGGGAUAUAACUAUGAGAAAUUAUUCCUUUAUUCAGGUAGAAUAUCUUUAUUUCUAUCAGUCAAGUGCAAAUGUUUCAAGAAACUCAACAAAUCACUUUAACUCUAUGCAUGUGCUUUACAGCCAGAGGAGUAGUAUUCUGGAGAGCAAAUUUCCCUUCUGCAGUUGUCACCUCAGAUAGGGCACCCAGGAGGAAAAUGGACCUGUCAUAGUGCCUGUCCCUCAUUUUUCCAGUCACUGAUGUGUGCACAGUCCCAGGCACCCUGUGCUGACACAGGCACUUGAGGCUGUAUCCAAACUAGGACUUAAGCAGAAUCCAGACCUCAUGUUAGAUGCCUCAACACAUAGGGCAUGCAGAAAGAGGGAGAGCUCAAACAGUGCCCAGAAGAGCUGCCUGUUACCAACACACAUCUUCUCCUGAGCUUAAAACUACUUUAAAAAUCAAACUGUUUUCUGUUUUUAGAAAAUACUGGGGCACUUGUUCCUCACAUUCUAGGCAGAUAUUUAUCUGUCAAAUACAUCCUGACCCACCUCACCCAUAAUGGCACCCCAGUCACUGUCCUACUUCUGUGUGACACUGUGGAAACUUGUCUAUCAACACACAACAGAACAAACUCCAUUUCAGUUAUGGGACCAUAGGCUGCCAUGUAGAAACAAAAGGAAUGACCCAGCAGGAUGGAGAUUAUGAGAAGAUUCAGGAAUAUUGCUAUCAAGGCAUGUUCUUUCAAAGCUAUUUCCAGAAGGGAUAUGUUCUGGAGAAAACAAAAAACCAAAAAAACCCAAUAACAAACAAGCAAAUAAUCCCCCCCACACACACAUAUGCCCACUGGGUUUUUAUUACUCUGCACUUCUCACUGAGAUUUCUAAAGAAUUUGCCUGGAAUAAAAAAACAGAGAGAAAAGUUAAGUUGCUCUUUCCUUUCCCCAUAUGCUUUAGAUUUGUCUAAUUUGGAUGAAGAGUGGUGGGUGGGUAUUUUGAAUUUUUAAGGACACUUGCUCCAAUUGUACAGAAAAGCUCGGCAUCCAUUCUGCUUUUGGCAGAGCAGAAAGCAUGUAAGUAGCUAGAAAAGUAGAAACACCAAAAUCUGUAAAUCCUUACUUGAACUUAAUACCCAAGCUUCUGUCUAUGGGUGACAGACUCCAUUCCCCAUUGGUGCAAAUCUUUUAAUCAAUUUAUAACUUCAAAUUAUAUACACUGUAAAAUAAAGUAAUCUGUGUUUGAAUUUCCUGUGCAGCAGAGAAAUACACUUCCUAUUGUCAAAGUUGUCUGAUAUACAAGUCACACAAAACAUUUUCUGUGAAAAAAGUUUAAAAUCCAGUGGCUUAUGCAACAUGAGACAGAAAAGUGUUGCAUGAAAACGCAAGCUGUGCUGUGUAGAGGUUUUUGCAAAGCAAUCACUGGAUUUUAAAUCUAUUUCACAUGAGUAUUUAAAAGAGCUGUUAAUCCAACUCCUCAUUCACAUGUAGGAGUUUCAUAAAAAUUCAUUUUAGAAUAUAAAGCAAAUGUCUCCCCAGCCAUUUCCAAGAGAUUGUAUCCCUUGUUUUUCAAUAUAUUAAGAUGCUGAGCAUACAAUUUUAUGUAAAGUUUUAAUAUGACUAAUAAGGUUGAAUUAGCGUGUUAAAUAAUGAGUCUUUAAAAUAAGUGUGGGAAGAGACAAACUAAGGCAUUUCUAUGUUCUUCUUCCUCUGAAUUUAUAGCUAUACUUCUGCUAUUACUCUAAGAUUUUAUGGUGCAUUCACAUGUUUAAUAGGUAUUGGAGUCCAAAUAAAGGUUUAAACAGACAAAAGGAGUGAAAAAAAAUCUUAGAUUUUAUCAAGCCAGGGACAAAUAUAUCAGAUAUAUUUGAAACCAACUAUAUUGGUAAAUUGUGUGCAUUUAAGGCCUUUCACAAUAAAGUUCUCUUUAGUAUUAAUUUAUUUAAGUAGGCUGAAAAGCCAAUUAAUAAAUUCAGUCAUCAUAGUCAACAGAAAUUUUUUCUCUCUUGUUUCAAGAGACAUGGUUGCUAUUCCAUUUUAUAAACUUUUGCCAGUGAACUCUUGUGAUAUGAACUGCACAUUUCAGCCUUGAUAUGCAAUAUUUGCUUCCAUCCCAGAGGCACUACUAAACAUAUAAAUGACUGCUUUUUCUGCAAAGAUCACAUGAGUUACACAGGGUAAAGAAUCUGAGUUAAAUAUAAUCAAAUUUUAACACUGUGCUCUAAAAUUACAGCCUGGAUUAUUUUUGCGUGCUUGUAGUCAAGAGACUUAAACAAGCAUUUCCAAUAAUCUCAUUUUAACAUUUUAGAUUGAUACUUCACAAUAGCUAUAGCUGAGUCAAUUAAAUGUUUGGGUACCAGAAUGUGGAAGGAGGGGCACUUUAUUUAAAUUGAUUGAUUUUUUUCAGCUGCUCUCUGAAAUACAUCCAGAGCAUGCUCACUGUCCUUGUCCUACUCAAAAGACACUACUUUGACUGUAAAAUGAAGUUUCAGCUUCAAUAUCAGAAAAUAAAUGGGAGCAUAAGAAUGUCAUAUUAUUGGAAUUAACUGUCUUUUUUUUUUCCUUGAAAAUGAUUUUUCUGUAAAAGAAAUAAAGGAACUUCUAAUAAAACAUUUCAAUUCAGUGGAACCCAGCACUUUGACACCCUACAGACACUGGCUUUCUAACUGGUAACACUGUUUUUUCAAAUAUAUUUGAGACAGCUCUGAGAUGUGGAUUGCUAUGCAGAAGUGUAUGGGUGAAGUACACCGGGUAAGUUUUACAAGGAAAGCUUUUUCUUUCUUUAUGCAAAAAUAUAUCUUUUUCUUUAAGAGCUUGGAAAGGAAGAUCUGUUUUCCCCUUUGAAAUUUUAAUUCCAGCUCUUAUAAGAAUCUGAAGAGUCACUUAAAAUAUUUUGAGUCUUUAUGCUUAAUUGCAAUUAAAACCCUACCAAACUGGAACAUUGCUUAAUGUUCAACUGUGGUGACCAGUCUGAGCUCGCUCUCAUCAGGGAUAAGUGCUUGGGCAUCUUAAAGAAAAUGGAUAGAAAUCCUGUCCUAUCAUUUGUAUCAACUCAAUUUACUCUCCAUUCCAAAUGAACAUCCUUUUUACGUGGACACUUCAUAAGCACUUCCAGCUUCGAUUGACCUCGAGCUUCCUGUUUCCCAUUCACUAUUUCCCAGGAAUCAGUACAACUGGCAUUGUAGCCUUUGUGCUGACGUGUAGGGGUGGAAAUCUCUGCAGUGUGUAUGUCUGGAAGAUAUUGCUCCCCAGAAAUAACGGGCCUAUGGUGGCAACAGGGGGACACAGAAAGUGAAUUUCCCAUAUUAUCCACUGGAAAAAGCCACUUUAAAUGAACAGAUUUUAAAACGAAGAGAUAGAGAGUACAUCAGAAAAUUGCUCGUCUCUCCAAUUUGUCCUAUUGAAAUAGCACUUGGGGACUGAUUGUGAUAAUCUGGUGAUUCACUGGAAAGAGCUGAAGGAACAAUGUCCCUCCUGUUGACAAUGAUAAGCAAGAAUGAGAUUUCUUAUUUCUGCCGAUGUACCUGCUGAAAUUACUGCUCAAGUGCUUUUUGCUAUUGCUGUUUUUCCUUCUGUUGUAAUUAAAACAGCACCAGAACACUG